GUCUUAUUGUCCUUAAUGAAAAUGACUAAUAAUCUUUCCUUUAUAAGACUAGUGAAUAUAAAAAUUCUAAGUAAAAUAGUGAAUUUUCAAAUUAACACAAUUGUUUGCCCUCAAUUAUUGUCUGCAGAUAUUAAAAGUAAGAUUCUUAAAAUGUGCCCUACUUCUCUGGUAAUAAUGGUAAAAUAAAAAAAAAAGCCUGAUUCUCAAUAUUAAAGAAAAUAAAUAACUUGAGGGAAAAUAAACAUACAUAUUUCAUUCUAUAAUUAUGGAAAGAAUGAAAACAUGUUAAAGAGCGUAUACAGCUUGAAUAAAUUGUUUAAAGCAAUGAUCUGGUAUAAGAAUAAUAAGGUACACUCUUCUUCAUAUCCUGUAUGCAUAUUUUUCAUAUAAAAUAAGAACAUUUUGCUACUAAGAUUUCUAAAAAUAAUAACACCUUGAUAAUAGAUACAUCUGAUCUAUAAACUCUGCCUUUAAACUCACUAUACAACGUGAUAAAAUUGCAUGAAACUAAAUCCAUGUGUGUAUACAUGCACACAAACACCCAUACACAGAGUACUUGCAAAACUAAGAAAAUCUGAAUAACAUCAGUGGAUUAUAUCCAUAUCCUGGUUGUGAAUAUAGUUUUGCGAGAUGUUAUCAGUGAGAGAAACUGGAUAAAGGACACAUGGAAUCUCUGGGUAUUUUUUUUUACAACUGUAUGUGAAUUGAUAAUUAUUUCCAAACAAAAGGUUAAAUUUAAAAAAUUAUGAUGCAAAAAAUAAAAUAUUUUGUCUCUUGUCUCUCUCUCUUUUUUGUUUUGAAGGAAAUCCCUCCCCAAAUGUAUUAGUAGCAGUGUUGAAAACGUGUAGUCCAAAGGCUAUAGACGUAAUUUUUGUUGCUGCCUUUUUUCUUGGUUUUAAAACAUGAUGUGCUUGCUGUCUGUAAAUUUACCUGAGUCAUUGAUAACAAUGGGAGAGAGAAGUCAACUCUGUGUGGCUCUCUGGUCCAGACUGAUACUUAACCUCAACAUGUGCACAUUUGGGGACCACAAAGGCUUGGCAGCAGUGCUCACAAUGGGGGCUCCACGAUGAUCAAGACCAGCUGUGGCACUUGCAGAGGUGACAUCAGGAGGAAGCACAGUGUGAUGCAUGCUGAAGUAGAAUCCUGCCUUCAAGGAGCUGUAAAUUAAAAAGGGACUACCUGUUGGAGCAAUGAAAAAAGGCUUCCCAGAUUGGGGAUUAUACGCUGAGAUUUAAAGGAUCAAAGGUGAAAAAAAUGGGAAGAGAGGUAAUAGGAGAAGGUAUUUAUAAGCAGGUAAGAUUCAACUUGCAAAACUUAAAGGCUGAGAGAGAAUGAUGUUUUGAGAAAACAUCAGAGGUCAGAAUGGCUAGGAGAAGGGUAUACAAAGGCAACAAAUUUAUGUAGUUUUAAGCAGUUGGUGAAUUAUGUCGUAUGUUUUUUUUUUCUCAAGAAUGGUAAUUUUCCAGGUUGGGGCAAGAAAAAUAGGACUCUAAAUUUUAUUUUAGAGUCUUGCUGUGUUGCCCAGGUCCCCAGGCUAGAGUGCAGUAGUGUGAUCUCUGCUCACUGCCUCACUGCAACCUCCGCCUUCCAGACUCAAGCAAUUCUCGUGUCUCAGCCUCCCAAGUAGCCAGGACCACAGGUGUGCACCACCACACCCAGCUAAUUUUUGUAUUUUUAGUAGAGGCAGGGUUUCACCACUUUGGCCAGGCUGGUCUCGAACUCCUGAUUUCAAGUGAUCUGCCCGCCUCAGCCUCCUAAAAUGCUGGGACUGAUUACAGGUGUGAGCCGCUGCACUUAGCCUAUCAGUAGUUGCUUUUAUGUAACAUGCCAUUGAUUUGACUGGGGCUACAGAGAUGAUGUACACAGAAGUAAGAAUUUUAUAAAACUAGUGCUGCUUAGGCUAGCAAAUGGUUUGUAAUAAUUUCUUCAGUUUUCAAAAAUUACCAAAAACUGAAAGAAGGCCAUUUUACAGAUGUUCCAAGGGCAUUAAAUAUUAUCAGUCAAGCUUCCUUCAUAUUUCUUUGCAAAACAGCUUUUAACAACAGCUGUGAUUCUCUUAUCUGUUGCUUUCAAAGGAAACUUGUGUCUAUUGCUGUAUGUAUAGUUUUAAUUAUAGGUAUUCCAUAUGUGAAUUUUAAUUAUUUAUUUACCUCCAAUUUUAGCAAGAGAACACUGAUUAGAAGCUUAAAUAACUCUCGCCCUCUUACUCACCCUCACAAAACUGAUAGGAAAAGUUUUAAAUACUCUGUGGUGAAGGAAAAAAAGUCGACAUAAAAAUAUCUACAAAAAUUACAGGAAGAAGAGAAAUGAUGAAAGUUAGUAGAGGAUCAAAACAUGUGAAGCACUUUUUAUUUAAUUUUUCAAUAUGUGUUCUGGAAAUCAUUAAUAGUCAGUCUGCAGCUGUUUCUUACUGAAUAUAGUGUUAGAAUGGGAAGACCACAGCUUUUAUGGAAAGUCAACAAUUUUGAUUAUGGUCACAAGGUUUGCAAAUUACUUUGGCUUCAACUAUUCUGCUAUUAUUUUUUCCUUAUAGUAAAUAUUAAACGUUAAUGCUGGAACAGUGGCUUUUAAACUUUCAUGUGAAGAUGCAGCUGGGGUGCUUGUCAAAAAUGCAGAUUUUCAGACUUUUUCUUAAAAGAGUCCAAUUCUGAUUUUUAAAAUGUGUCUCCAAGUGAUUCUGAUGCAGGUGUCUCCGAAUUAAAUUUUGAAUAAUGUUGGGCUGGCUCAAGGGCACCUAGUGCCUGGCAUAGAUAUGUCCUCAAAGAAAUUAAAAACUUCUCAGAUGUAUCUACAAUGACAAUGCUGAUGAAUGCUGAUGAAUGCAAGCAUUGUGAGGGGAUGAAUUUUGCCUGUUUUGUUCACAGCUAAUAUGGUUUGGGUUUGUUUUCCCACUCAAAUCUCAUCUGGAAUUGUAACCUCAUAAUCCCCAUGUAUCAUGGAAGGGACACAGUAGGAGGUAACUGAAUCAUGGGGGCGGUUACCCCCAUGAUGUUCUCAUGAUACUGAGUGAGUUCUCAUAAGAUCUGGUAGUUUUAUAAGGGGCUUUCUCCGUUUGCUUGACACUUCUUCGUGCCACCAUGUGAAGGAGGACGUGUUUGCUUCUCCUUCUUCCAUGACUGUAAGUUUCCUGAGGCUUCCCCAGCCGUGCUGAACUGCAAGUCAAUUAAGCCUCUUUUCUUUAUAAAUUACUCAGUCUGGGGUAUAUCUUCAUAGCAGCAAGAGAACAGGCUAACACAACAGCCACGUUCCCAGCACUGAGAUUAGCACCUGGCACACAGUCAAUAACUAUUUGCUGAAUGGAUGUGUGAAAGAAUGAUUUGAGCAUGUCAGUACUUGCUUUCUGAAGUUCAUGCUGUUCAUUGGAUCUUCUAUCCCACACUAACUAUCAGAAGGCAAAGGACUUGUGUCAAGCAUGCCCCAAUUUGCUCACCAAAAGUGGCAUUUUGGGCCUCACAGUAAUGACAUUUGGCAAAGUUACCAGUCUUGAAAGUGUAAUUUUUGAGUUUUAUUUUCUGACCUACAAAACUUAAAAGUGUACCUGUAAGGGGCUGCAGUACCUUAGUGGAUCACAACAAAUCAGCAUGCACAUUCCAAAUGUAUAACCUAUCACAGAAAUAUGACACCCAUAAUCCCCACAAAAUAUCCAUGUGGUUCUUAAUGAUGCUGAACUACAGAGUUCCUAUUUUCUUUUUCAGACACUAUGAGCUUACAAAAUGUUCCUGCAUUAGUUGUCAUGCUUUGAAACAAACUUGGUGUGAUGAUGUUUCAACUAGAUCUAAAGGGAAUGGACAGGCAGACCCACACAAACACAUGAUUUCUUUUAAGAAAUACUGUAUUAUUUCUCUAGGGCACAUAAAAAUAUUUUGUGAAAUCAUAAAGUUACAUAAAACUCAUAGGAAGAAACAAAUAAAACUGCAAGUUUUAUUCCUUCAUAGAGAUUCAGAAAAGAUGGAAAAUACAUGGUAUUAACCAAGGGAGCAGAUCCUGUACUAUUUUGAAUGUGUCCUUCAUUAGUAAGGACAUCGGUGCUAAUGUCCUUAGUAAUUCAUCCUGUAAGUUAGCACACUUAACAUAAAAGUUUACAGUACUCUUAGCACCAUGAUGGAAAGUAAUCCUUUUGAGACUGCUUCAGGCCUAAAUAUCAUAUAAUCAUAAAAUUUUUAUCAAUAGUAUAUAUUCAAAUGUGUUCAUGUUGUUAUUAAUUAAUACUGGUUGGUUGAACACACCUCUACUUAUCAAUAUUUUAAAUGAUUUCU
rnacentral:lncRNA from 10 species